CCUCAGGCAGCUCCACUCCUCUCACUCGGACAUUAGAUCAUCCAUUUUAAUUGCUUCACCAUAGACAGCAGUAACUUUGGUUAUCAAGGCCUGAAGCUCUGAAUUCCUCUCUUUAUAUCUGCCCAUUUCUCUACUGCCUUUUCCAUUUGUCUUAUAAAACCCAAGUCUUUUUGAUCAUCUACACUCACACCAAAGGCAGGGCAAAGAAAACCAGAGAUGCAAAGAAUAAUCAAAGAUUGGAGUAAUCGAGAGUUCUUGGAAGAUUGCAGGAUAAAGUAUAUGCUCCUGCAGCAUCCUUCAUGGAAUGUCAGAAGAAGCAACACAGUCAGUUCUGAAGAAGUCUUAUAACAUGAAAUCGAUAACAACAGGGUCAAUGACUUACAGAGCCCUGUGCAAAACCAACUUGGAACAACAACUAUUCAGGGAGAACUCAAGAUCUACAAGUUUGAGCCGUACUGAAGAAACAAGGCAACAUCAAAAUAGUUGAGAAUCCUGUUUAAGAUCUAUUACUGCAUGGAUUCUCCGAACUUUAAAUUACAACUGUCUUUACAAUCCUGCCUGCAUAGAUACCACCCCUUUUACCUUUUAAGCUUAUUAAGCAAUUUGCUUGGGUGUUAAUGUUCUAAUUUUUUUUCCAAAUA